rnacentral:tRNA from 1 species
AUAGUUGUAUAGUCUAAUAAAAAGAUUUUAAAUUGCAAGUUUGAAGAAAAAUUAUAAAUUUUACAACUU